rnacentral:rRNA from 2 species
UACGGGGGGUGCAAGCGUUGUCCGGAAUCAUUGGGCGUAAAGAGUUCGUAGGCGGCAUGUCAAGUCUGGUGUUAAAUCCUGAGGCUCAACUUCAGUUCAGCACUGGAUACUGGCAAGCUAGAAUGCGGUAGAGGUAAAGGGAAUUCCUGGUGUAGCGGUGAAAUGCGUAGAUAUCAGGAAGAACACCGGUGGCGUAAGCGCUUUACUGGGCCGUUAUUGACGCUGAGGAACGAAAGCCGGGGGAGCGAAUGGG